rnacentral:rRNA from 1 species
UAGCUUGCUACCGGGCGUCGAGCGGCGGACGGGUGAGUAAUACUUAGGAAUCUACCUAGUAGUGGGGGAUAGCACGGGGAAACUCGUAUUAAUACCGCAUACGACCUACGGGAGAAAGGGGGCAGUUUACUGCUCUCGCUAUUAGAUGAGCCUAAGUCGGAUUAGCUAGAUGGUGGGGUAAAGGCCUACCAUGGCGACGAUCUGUAGCUGGUCUGAGAGGAUGAUCAGCCACACCGGGACUGACACACGGCCCGGACUCCUACGGGAGGCAGCAGUGGGGAAUAUUGGACAAUGGGGGAAACCCUGAUCCAGCCAUGCCGCGUGUGUGAAGAAGGCCUUUUGGUUGUAAAGCACUUUAAGCAGUGAAAAAGACUCUUCGGUUAAUACCCGGAGACGAUGACAUUCGCUGCAAAAUAAGCACCGGCUAACUCUGUGCCAGCAGCCGCGGUAAUACAGAGGGUGCAAGCGUUAAUCGGAAUUACUGGGCGUAAAGCGAGCGUAGGUGGCUUGAUAAGUCAGAUGUGAAAUCCCCGGGCUUAACCUGGGAACUGCAUCUGAAACCUGUUACGCUAGAGUAGGUGAGA